CCUAGCCCAUCUAUUUUUCUAUCGGUGGCCUUCUUCAUGUUGGGAGCGCUCCUUCAAGAGAGGCUCUCGUUGACGUCUGCUCCUCUGCCUCACAUGGUCGACGCCAUCCACUCCAACCACCGCGACCACGCCUCUUUUCCUCCAGAAAAUCCCCACCGAGAGCCCCUGCAAACCCUAGCCUCUCCCUUCCACAUACCGCCGCCACCACAAGCUAUCUUUUCCCGUCCUCUUUUCUUCCUCACGCAAUGGAGAAAACACCACAGCAACCACCAUGGCGCCGCCGCAGCUGACCACCCCGCGCCCGUCCGAGACCACCAGAAGCUCCGUCUCGUCGCCCCGGCCCUGCUCGUCCAAGGAAUCAAGCCGGCGUUCUCUCAAUCAUCGGCAAACUCGCCGAUUCCCCUCUCCGGCCACCACGCACCAGCGAGAUUUCCGACCGCCUCCGACCUCGUCCGCCUCCGUCGAGGUGUUCAUCAGCAUCCUGCUCCGCCAUGGUCGACGACAGGCCUCCGUGCCGCACGCGCUCGUCCCUGCCGGCCUUCUUCCCGGUCGUCGACCUCGUCGUCUCUGCUCUGGUCGCACCAUCCUCGUCCUCGUUUCGUCAGGUUGCUAUACCAUCCAGAAGCGGUUCGAGUUGCUACACGUCUCCAUCUGCAGCAUCUCCAUAGUAGCCGGCUGGUCUCACGCCUGGAGAUGUUUCAGUUUGCGUGGGAGCCUUUCUUCCAAAAUCAACUUCAGCAAGCAGUCUAGCUGGGCUGUUCCCUUUGGCUCCAAAAUGACACUACGCUCAAUUCCAGGGAUGCAUUUUAACAGUUGCCACUUCAGUCAGCAUUUGCUUCUUCCCGGAUAGGAUCGCGAAGUGGUGUGGUGAGAUACGACGAGUUCUCCGGAUGUUCCUCGGCAAGCUUUAACAGCUCCUUCAGUAUUCUUGGAGUACUGGUCCAUAGCUACAUGAAAUCAGAAGACAUAUGCUAGACUCAAGGUAUUUAUACGAGAAAGCUUCAAGGAAGAAUACAUGUCCAAUCAUUUGACAUACCUGGCCCAAUCAUCAUGUAAUUAUCACUAGGAUUAUAGUGCUCGGUUUUCCUUUUGGAUAUUUCCAUUUGCUAGGACACAUACACUAAGACAUCAAUGUAAUUUGCUUAUGGAUUUGAUUUUAGUGGUGAUAAAAGUAACCCAAUAGCUUAAAGAAGAGAAGACGACACUAAAGAGGCUGGAAGAGACGACCAAGUAUCAGGAAUGGAUCGUUACAUCGAGGAAAUGGUAAAUAUGCUCUUAGAAAGGUGGUGUGUUCCUGAUAUCUAAUUAGAAAGGUGCAGACAUGGCCCUGAUUAUGUAGCCCGUGACAUCCAACUAACCGUGACUAUGCUUGGGCUAUACAGUUUAUUCUUAGUAACUAAUCCAGUGAAGUCAUGCCAUCUCUUGAUA